AGUGAACGCUGGCGGUAGGCCUAACACAUGCAAGUCGAACGGCAGCACAGUAAGAGCUUGCUCUUACGGGUGGCGAGUGGCGGACGGGUGAGGAAUACAUCGGAAUCUACUAUUUCGUGGGGGAUAACGUAGGGAAACUUACGCUAAUACCGCAUACGACCUACGGGUGAAAGCAGGAGAUCUUCGGACCUUGCGCGAUUGAAUGAGUCGAUGUCGGAUUAGCUAGUUGGCGGGGUAAAGGCCCACCAAGGCGACGAUCCGUAGCUGGUCUGAGAGGAUGAUCGGCCACACUGGAACUGAGACACGGUCCAGACUCCUACGGGAGGCAGCAGUGGGGAAUAUUGGACAAUGGGCGCAAGCCUGAUCCAGCCAUACCGCGUGGGUGAAGAAGGCCUUCGGGUUGUAAAGCCCUUUUGUUGGGAAAGAAAAGCAGCAGGUUAAUACCCCGCUGUUCUGACGGUACCCAAAGAAUAAGCACCGGCUAACUUCGUG
rnacentral:rRNA from 1 species